rnacentral:rRNA from 1 species
ACGGGUGAAAGCAGGGGACCUUCGGGCCUUGCGCGAUUGAAUGAACCGAUGUCGGAUUAGCUAGUUGGCGGGGUAAAGGCCCACCAAGGCGACCAUCCGUAGCUGGUCUGAAAGGAUGAUCAGCCACACUGGAACUGAGACACGGUCCACACUCCUACGGGAGGCAGCAGUGGGGAAUAUUGGACAAUGGGCGCAAGCCUGAUCCAGCCAUACCGCGUGGGUGAAGAAGGCCUUCGGGUUGUAAAGCCCUUUUGUUGGGAAAGAAAUCCAGCCGGCUAAUACCUGGUUGGGAUGACGGUACCCAAAGAAUAAGCACCGGCUAACUUCGUGCCACCACCCGCGGUAAUACGAAGGGUGCAAGCGUUACUCGGAAUUACUGGGCGUAAAGCGUGCGUAGGUGGUUGUUUAAGUCUGUUGUGAAAGCCCUGGGCUCAACCUGGGAACUGCAGUGGAAACUGGACAACUAGAGUGUGGUAGAGGGUAACGUAAUUCCCGGUGUAUCAGUGAAAUGCGUAGAGAUCGGAAGGAACAUCCAUGGCGAAGGCAGCUACCUGGACCAACACUGACACUGAGGCACGAAAGCGUGGGGAGCAAACAUGAUUAGAUACCCUGGUAGUCCACGCCCUAAAC